rnacentral:rRNA from 1 species
AGCGUACACGGUGGAUGCCCUGGCAGUCAGAGGCGAUGAAGGACGUGCUAAUCUGCGAUAAGCGUCGGUAAGGUGAUAUGAACCGUUAUAACCGGCGAUUUCCGAAUGGGGAAACCCAGUGUGUUUCGACACACUAUCAUUAACUGAAUCCAUAGGUUAAUGAGGCGAACCGGGGGAACUGAAACAUCUAAGUACCCCGAGGAAAAGAAAUCAACCGAGAUUCCCCCAGUAGCGGCGAGCGAACGGGGAGCAGCCCAGAGCCUGAAUCAGUAUGUGUGUUAGUGGAAGCGUCUGGAAAGGCGCGCGAUACAGGGUGACAGCCCCGUACACAAAAAUGCACAUGCUGUGAGCUCGAUGAGUAGGGCGGGACACGUGGUAUCCUGUCUGAAUAUGGGGGGACCAUCCUCCAAGGCUAAAUACUCCUGACUGACCGAUAGUGAACCAGUACCGUGAGGGAAAGGCGAAAAGAACCCCGGCGAGGGGAGUGAAAAAGAACCUGAAACCGUGUACGUACAAGCAGUGGGAGCACGCUUAGGCGUGUGACUGCGUACCUUUUGUAUAAUGGGUCAGCGACUUAUAUUCUGUAGCAAGGUUAACCGAAUAGGGGAGCCGAAGGGAAACCGAGUCUUAACUGGGCGUUAAGUUGCAGGGUAUAGACCCGAAACCCGGUGAUCUAGCCAUGGGCAGGUUGAAGGUUGGGUAACACUAACUGGAGGACCGAACCGACUAAUGUUGAAAAAUUAGCGGAUGACUUGUGGCUGGGGGUGAAAGGCCAAUCAAACCGGGAGAUAGCUGGUUCUCCCCGAAAGCUAUUUAGGUAGCGCCUCGUGAAUUCAUCUCCGGGGGUAGAGCACUGUUUCGGCAAGGGGGUCAUCCCGACUUACCAACCCGAUGCAAACUGCGAAUACCGGAGAAUGUUAUCACGGGAGACACACGGCGGGUGCUAACGUCCGUCGUGAAGAGGGAAACAACCCAGACCGCCAGCUAAGGUCCCAAAGUCAUGGUUAAGUGGGAAACGAUGUGGGAAGGCCCAGACAGCCAGGAUGUUGGCUUAGAAGCAGCCAUCAUUUAAAGAAAGCGUAAUAGCUCACUGGUCGAGUCGGCCUGCGCGGAAGAUGUAACGGGGCUAAACCAUGCACCGAAGCUGCGGCAGCGACGCUGAUGCGUUGUUGGGUAGGGGAGCGUUCUGUAAGCCUGCGAAGGUGUGCUGUGAGGCAUGCUGGAGGUAUCAGAAGUGCGAAUGCUGACAUAAGUAACGAUAAAGCGGGUGAAAAGCCCGCUCGCCGGAAGACCAAGGGUUCCUGUCCAACGUUAAUCGGGGCAGGGUGAGUCGACCCCUAAGGCGAGGCCGAAAGGCGUAGUCGAUGGGAAACAGGUUAAUAUUCCUGUACUUGGUGUUACUGCGAAGGGGGGACGGAGAAGGCUAUGUUGGCCGGGCGACGGUUGUCCCGGUUUAAGCGUGUAGGCUGGUUUUCCAGGCAAAUCCGGAAAAUCAAGGCUGAGGCGUGAUGACGAGGCACUACGGUGCUGAAGCAACAAAUGCCCUGCUUCCAGGAAAAGCCUCUAAGCAUCAGGUAACAUCAAAUCGUACCCCAAACCGACACAGGUGGUCAGGUAGAGAAUACCAAGGCGCUUGAGAGAACUCGGGUGAAGGAACUAGGCAAAAUGGUGCCGUAACUUCGGGAGAAGGCACGCUGAUAUGUAGGUGAAGUCCCUCGCGGAUGGAGCUGAAAUCAGUCGAAGAUACCAGCUGGCUGCAACUGUUUAUUAAAAACACAGCACUGUGCAAACACGAAAGUGGACGUAUACGGUGUGACGCCUGCCCGGUGCCGGAAGGUUAAUUGAUGGGGUCAGCGCAAGCGAAGCUCUUGAUCGAAGCCCCGGUAAACGGCGGCCGUAACUAUAACGGUCCUAAGGUAGCGAAAUUCCUUGUCGGGUAAGUUCCGACCUGCACGAAUGGCGUAAUGAUGGCCAGGCUGUCUCCACCCGAGACUCAGUGAAAUUGAACUCGCUGUGAAGAUGCAGUGUACCCGCGGCAAGACGGAAAGACCCCGUGAACCUUUACUAUAGCUUGACACUGAACAUUGAGCCUUGAUGUGUAGGAUAGGUGGGAGGCUUUGAAGUGUGGACGCCAGUCUGCAUGGAGCCGACCUUGAAAUACCACCCUUUAAUGUUUGAUGUUCUAACGUGGACCCGUAAUCCGGGUUGCGGACAGUGUCUGGUGGGUAGUUUGACUGGGGCGGUCUCCUCCUAAAGAGUAACGGAGGAGCACGAAGGUUGGCUAAUCCUGGUCGGACAUCAGGAGGUUAGUGCAAUGGCAUAAGCCAGCUUGACUGCGAGCGUGACGGCGCGAGCAGGUGCGAAAGCAGGUCAUAGUGAUCCGGUGGUUCUGAAUGGAAGGGCCAUCGCUCAACGGAUAAAAGGUACUCCGGGGAUAACAGGCUGAUACCGCCCAAGAGUUCAUAUCGACGGCGGUGUUUGGCACCUCGAUGUCGGCUCAUCACAUCCUGGGGCUGAAGUAGGUCCCAAGGGUAUGGCUGUUCGCCAUUUAAAGUGGUACGCGAGCUGGGUUUAGAACGUCGUGAGACAGUUCGGUCCCUAUCUGCCGUGGGCGCUGGAGAACUGAGGGGGGCUGCUCCUAGUACGAGAGGACCGGAGUGGACGCAUCACUGGUGUUCGGGUUGUCAUGCCAAUGGCACUGCCCGGUAGCUAAAUGCGGAAGAGAUAAGUGCUGAAAGCAUCUAAGCACGAAACUUGCCCCGAGAUGAGUUCUCCCUGACUCCUUGA